GACGAACGCUGGCGGCGUGCUUAACACAUGCAAGUCGAACGGAAAGGCCCUGCUUUUGUGGGGUGCUCGAGUGGCGAACGGGUGAGUAACACGUGAGUAACCUGCCCUUGACUUUGGGAUAACUUCAGGAAACUGGGGCUAAUACCGGAUAGGAGCUCCUGCUGCAUGGUGGGGGUUGGAAAGUUUCGGCGGUUGGGGAUGGACUCGCGGCUUAUCAGCUUGUUGGUGGGGUAGUGGCUUACCAAGGCUUUGACGGGUAGCCGGCCUGAGAGGGUGACCGGCCAAAGGGGGUGAGAGACGCGGCAGAGGCCCAUAGGGGGGGAAGGGGGGGGGAAUAGUGCACAAGGGGGGGGAGCGUGAUGCAGACACGCCGCGUGGGAGGUGGGGGUGUUGGGGUUGAAAAGCGUUUGCGCCUGUGACGACGCGUGAGACGGGGUAAUGGGAAGAAGCACCGGCUAAAAACGUG
rnacentral:rRNA from 1 species